rnacentral:misc_RNA from 1 species
UCACAAACAUGAGCCUUGGCAC